rnacentral:rRNA from 1 species
GGACCCGCACAAGCAGCGGAGCAUGUGGUUUAAUUCGAAGCAACGCGAAGAACCUUACCAGGGCUUGACAUCCCUCUGACAGUCCCUUAACCGGGAUCUCCCUUCGGGGCAGAGGAGACAGGUGGUGCAUGGUUGUCGUCAGCUCGUGUCGUGAGAUGUUGGGUUAAGUCCCGCAACGAGCGCAACCCUUGUCAUUAGUUGCCAGCAGGUCAAGCUGGGCACUCUAGUGAGACUGCCGGGGAUAACUCGGAGGAAGGUGGGGAUGACGUCAAAUCAUCAUGCCCCUUAUGUUCUGGGCUACACACGUGCUACAAUGGCCGGUACAAAGAGAAGCAAACUCGUGAGUGUGAGCAAAACUCAAAAACCGGUCCCAGUUCGGAUUGCAGGCUGCAACUCGCCUGCAUGAAGUCGGAGUUGCUAGUAAUCGUGAAUCAGAAUGUCACGGUGAAUGCGUUCCCGGGUCUU